rnacentral:SRP_RNA from 1 species
GGUUGGGCCCCGCACGGUUGAACCCCGUGAACCCCGUCAGGUCCGGAAGGAAGCAGCGGCAGCGGGACUUCGGCGCGUUGCGGAUAUGUCCGGCCCGG